rnacentral:rRNA from 1 species
AUACGAAGACGUGACGCGGACCGAAAUAAAGUAGGGAAGCAUGUGAGCCAUGUGCCAAGAAAAGCCGCUAUAGAUCAUACCGUACCCGUACCGUAAACCGACACAGGUAGAUGAGGAGAGAAUCCUAAGGCCGACGGGAGAAGCAUUGUUAAGGAACUCGGCAAAAUGACCCCGUAACUUCGGGAGAAGGGGUGCCCACGCGAGUGGGCCGCAGAGAAUAGGCUCAAGCAACUGUUUAGUAAAAACACAGGUCUAUGCGAAACCGAAAGGUGAGGUAUAUGGGCUGACGCCUGCCCGGUGCUGGAAGGUUAAGAGGAGGAGUCAGGCAACGAAGCUCCGAAUUUAAGCCCCAGUAAACGGCGGCCGUAACUAUAACGGUCCUAAGGUAGCGAAAUUCCUUGUCGGGUAAGUUCCGACCCGCACGAAAGGCGUAAUGAUUUGAGCACUGUCUCGACAAUGCACCCGGUGAAAUUGAAGUACCAGUGAAGAUGCUGGUUACCUGCGCCAGGACGGAGAGACCCCAUGGAGCUUUACUCCAGUUUGAUACUGGGAUUCGAUACUGAAUGUACAGGAUAGGUGGGAGGCUGAGAAGCGUGGACGCCAGUCUGCGGUGAGCCGCUGUUGGGAUACCACCCUUUGAGUAUUGGAUUUCUAACCUGCGCCCGUGACCCGGGCGGGGGACAAUGUCUGACGGGGAGUUUGACUGGGGCGGUCGCCUCCGAAAGGGUAUCGGAGGCGCUCAAAGGUUCCCUCAGAAUGGUUGGAAACCAUUCGCAGAGUGCAAAGGCAGAAGGGAGCUUGACUGUGACACCGACGGGUGGAGCAGGUACGAAAGUAGGACUUAGUGAUCCGGUGGUAUGAAAGUGGGAUUGCCAUCGCUCAACGGAUAAAAGCUACCCUGGGAUAACAGGCUUAUCACUCCCAAGAGUCACAUCGACGGAGUGGUUUGGCACCUCGAUGUCGGCUCAUCGCAUCCUGGGGCUGUAGCAGGUCCCAAGGGUUGGGCUGUUCGCCCAUUAAAGCGGUACGCGAGCUGGGUUCAGAACGUCGUGAGACAGUUCGGUCUCUAUCCGGCGCAGGCGUAGGAUAUUUGAGAGGAGCUGUCCUUAGUACGAGAGGACCGGGAUGGACAGACCGCUGGUGUAUCUGUUGGUGACCAACACCAUGGCAGAGUAGCCAAGUCUGGCAGGGAUAAACGCUGAAGGCAUCUAAGCGUGAAGCCCCCCCUCAAGAUGAGAUGUCCCAAUAAGUAAGACCCCUUAGAGAGUAUGAGGUAGAUAGGCUUAAGGUGUAAGCAUAGUAAUAUGUUCAGCUGAUAAGUACUAAUAGGUCGAGGGCUUAUC